CGAGCCAGCUAGACAAUCGCUUCAUCCUUGUGGUGGGGAGGAAAGUCCGGGCUCCAUAGGGCAGAACGCCAGGUAACGCCUGGGGGGCGCGAGCCUACGGAAAGUGCAGCAGAGAGUAGACCGCCUGUGUUCUUGGCAACAAGAGCAUCGGUAAGGGUGAAAGGGUGCGGUAAGAGCGCACCGCGCAGCUGGUAACAGUCUGUGGCGAUGGUAAACCCCGUUCGGAGCAAGACCAAAUAGGAAUCCUACAGGUGCGGCCCGCACUGGAUUCGGGUAGGUCGCUUGAGGCGUAUGGUGACAUACGUCCCAGAUGAAUGAUUGUCCUCGACAGAACCCGGCUUAUCGGCUGGCUCAUCAU
rnacentral:RNase_P_RNA from 18 species